CAGUCGCCGCGGUAAUACCGAGGGUGCAAGCGUUAAUCGGAAUUACUGGGCGUAAAGCGCGCGUAGGUGGUUUGUUAAGUUGGAUGUGAAAUCCCCGGGCUCAACCUGGGAACUGCAUCCAAAACUGGCAAGCUAGAGUAUGGUAGAGGGUGGUGGAAUUUCCUGUGUAGCGGUGAAAUGCGUAGAUAUAGGAAGGAACACCAGUGGCGAAGGCGACCACCUGGACUGAUACUGACACUGAGGUGCGAAAGCGUGGGGAGCAAACAGGAUUAGAUACCCCCGUAGUCCCUGUCUCUUAUAC
rnacentral:rRNA from 1 species